ACACGCAAUGAAAGAGCAAAGGAAACGAGUUUCCCCCAGAGAACAAUCUGGAAAAUUACCCUCCAUUCACACAGACAGGGGGAGUAUUGACAGAGUGUCACACUUGCUCACAGCCAAUCAGCUUUUGUUGCUUUCUAUCACAGCGGACUCAGAACAUCUGCUGCUCCUCAAACGCAACACCUGUGUCUGCGUGGAGCUCAGAGACGCCUUACUGGAACAGGUGCUGAUGCUCGUCAGGUGACCUAAAGCAGCAGGACAGGAGGAGCAAACCCACAGCAUGUUUGUCCUCGUGUAGCUCUACACAGUCUGAGGUGUUCUUCGGUAAACCGGACCACCCGACAGAAGGACCCGAGGCCCCGCUGCACUUUUUUGUCACUUGGACCGACCUGCUGGAGCCUCUGCUGGACGUUAGAGGAACUGCAGUUUUUUGUCGUUUCCUGCAUGUUUUCUGUGAAAAGCCGACGUUUGGAUCCACUCAGAGUUCUAAAAUCCCGCACAGGCUUCUUUCUGCAUGAGGUCUUUUUCCAAACAGCUGCUUGUUGCUUGAAGAAAACAUUUUCCUACUUACUAAAUACUUUGCAGAAAGAUCUAAAUGUGAACACACCUUUUUUUCUGUGUUUUACACUUUUUAAAAUGCUGUGAGUUUAAAUGGCUGCUACCUUGCCAAGCCUCUCUUGUCUCUCUAAGAGAGAUGUGAUAUAUAAAAAAUAAAUAAUGGGAAGCACAGUUUGAAACGAUCGCUUCUGGCUGCUAUAAAAGGGAAGAAUGUGGCAGCAUGUAUUCACAGCGUUGUAUACAAGGAGCAUCAUUUCUACAUAUUUUAAGAUUUCCUUAUCUAACGUCUCUCUCCGGGACUGAGGAAGCAGAGAUGGGGAGAUGCAGAAUUCCUUCUGAUACAAAUGACAAACUUUUUAUUUUUAUUUUUAUGUAUAAAUGUUUUAUUGGA